UGGGGAAUAUUGGACAAUGGGCGAAAGCCUGAUCCAGCCAUGCCGCGUGUGUGAAGAAGGUCUUCGGAUUGUAAAGCACUUUAAGUUGGGAGGAAGGGCAGUAAGCGAAUACCUUGCUGUUUUGACGUUACCGACAGAAUAAGCACCGGCUAACUCUGUGCCAGCAGCCGCGGUAAUACAGAGGGUGCAAGCGUUAAUCGGAAUUACUGGGCGUAAAGCGCGCGUAGGUGGUUCGUUAAGUUGAAUGUGAAAGCCCCGGGCUCAACCUGGGAACUGCAUCCAAAACUGGCGAGCUAGAAGAGGGCAGAGGGUUGUGGAAUUUCCUGUGUAGCGGUGAAAUGCGUAGAUAUAGGAAGGAACACCAGUGGCGAAGGCGACCACCUGGGCUCAUACUGACACUGAGGUGCGAAAGCGUGGGGAGCAAACAGG
rnacentral:rRNA from 1 species